CUGCCCGGAGAACCUCGUCCACUCGGAAACCAGAGCAGAACCACUUUUCCCUCGGUCUCGUUAAGUCAUGUCUGAGGCACAGAGAUGGGCAAGAUCGAGAACAACGAGAGGGUAAUCCUCAAUGUCGGGGGCACCCGGCACGAAACCUACCGCAGCACCCUCAAGACCCUGCCCGGGACGCGCCUGGCCCUCCUCGCAGCCUCCGAGCCCCAGGGCGACUGCCUGACAGCGGCGGGCGACAAGCUGCAGCCGUCGCCCCCUCCGCUCUCGCCGCCGCCGCGACCGCCCCCACUGUCCCCGGGGCCCGCGGGCUGUUUUGAGGGCGGCGCGGGCAACUGCAGCGCCCGCGGCAGCGACCACCCUGGGGGCGGCCGCGAGUUCUUCUUCGACCGGCACCCUGGGGUCUUCGCCUAUGUGCUCAACUACUACCGCACCGGCAAACUGCACUGCCCCGCCGACGUGUGCGGGCCGCUCUUCGAGGAGGAGCUGGCCUUCUGGGGCAUCGACGAGACCGACGUGGAGCCCUGCUGCUGGAUGACUUACCGGCAGCACCGCGACGCCGAAGAGGCCCUCGACAUCUUCGAGACCCCCGACCUCAUCGGCGGCGACCCUGGCGACGACGAGGACUUGGCGGCCAAGAGGCUGGGCAUCGAGGACGCCGCGGGCCUCGGGGGCCCCGACGGCAAGUCUGGCCGCUGGAGGAGGCUGCAGCCCCGCAUGUGGGCUCUCUUUGAGGACCCCUACUCGUCCAGAGCCGCCAGGUUUAUUGCUUUUGCUUCGUUAUUCUUCAUUCUGGUUUCAAUCACAACCUUUUGCCUGGAGACACAUGAAGCUUUCAAUAUUGUUAAAAACAAGACAGAACCAGUCAUCAAUGGCACAAGCGUUGUUCUACAGUAUGAAAUUGAAACAGAUCCUGCCUUGACGUACAUAGAAGGAGUGUGUGUGGUGUGGUUUACUUUUGAAUUUUUAGUCCGCAUUGUUUUUUCCCCCAAUAAACUUGAAUUCAUCAAAAAUCUCUUGAACAUCAUUGACUUUGUGGCCAUCCUACCCUUCUACUUAGAGGUGGGACUCAGUGGGCUGUCAUCCAAAGCUGCUAAAGAUGUACUUGGCUUCCUCAGGGUGGUCAGGUUUGUGAGGAUCCUGAGAAUCUUCAAGCUAACCCGUCAUUUUGUAGGUCUGAGGGUGCUUGGACACACUCUUCGAGCUAGUACUAAUGAGUUCUUGCUGCUGAUAAUCUUCCUGGCUCUAGGAGUUUUGAUAUUUGCUACGAUGAUCUACUACGCGGAGAGAGUGGGAGCGCAACCCAAUGACCCUUCAGCUAGUGAACACACGCAGUUCAAAAACAUUCCUAUUGGGUUCUGGUGGGCCGUAGUGACCAUGACUACCUUGGGCUAUGGAGAUAUGUAUCCCCAAACAUGGUCAGGGAUGCUGGUAGGCGCCCUGUGUGCUCUGGCUGGAGUGUUGACAAUAGCCAUGCCAGUUCCUGUCAUUGUCAACAAUUUCGGGAUGUACUACUCCUUGGCAAUGGCGAAGCAGAAACUUCCAAGAAAAAGAAAGAAGCACAUCCCUCCUGCCCCUCAAGCAAGCUCGCCUACUUUUUGCAAGACAGAAUUAAAUAUGGCCUGCAAUAGCACACAGGGUGACACUUGCCUGGGCAAAGACAAUCGGCUUCUGGAACAUAACAGAUCAGUGUUAUCAGGUGACGACAGUACAGGAAGUGAGCCGCCAUUAUCACCCCCAGAAAGGCUCCCCAUCAGACGCUCUAGUACCAGAGACAAAAACAGAAGAGGGGAAACAUGUUUCCUACUGACGACAGGUGAUUACACGUGUGCUUCUGAUGGAGGGAUCAGGAAAGGAUAUGAAAAAUCCCGAAGCUUAAACAACAUAGCGGGCUUGGCAGGCAAUGCUCUGAGACUCUCUCCAGUAACAUCACCCUACAACUCUCCUUGUCCUCUGAGGCGCUCCCGAUCUCCCAUCCCAUCUAUCUUGUAAACCAAACUGUAUCAGUCAACUAAAUUGUCUUAAUUCAAGUACUGUUUACUCCAUAAUGGAAAUAAAUGUAGAUUUACUCCAGGCUCCAUUAAUACAGUAUAAAUCUUGCAUGAUCCUACUAUCCGAAGUCAGAAAUGCCAUUUGGGUAGCAAAUGAAUCUUAUCCUUGCUUUAAAGAUUAUCUAAAGUAGUGCUACUACUUCUCCAUAUUAAUUGCCCCAAUUUAUUGCUCCAUAUUAUUGCUCCUUUCGCAAUAAAAUGACAGAUAGGGUCAGAUAUUGGCCAGUACCCUAAUACAUAAACGUAUCUUCAGGGAGAUAUAUUUAAACCAGUGUGCUUCCAAAUGCCAACCACUUCAUGGGAACUUCAUUUCUUGUGACUUUAAACCAUUCUGAAGAUAUCUGGAAUUCUAUUUUGAUUACACACGACAUGACUGUGGUCAGCUCAUUUGCAUGGACCAUCUUGUCUCCAUCACCCGAAAGCAAUGUCACGGAGUUCGGGACUGUGAUGGCUUGGGAUAUGUGUACUUGCAUCGAAUCAUCCUAAUGAUGUGAAAGCACUGGUCGACUGUUCUGCAUGUUGAAUUGGGGGCAGGGAGGGCGAAUUUCUCCUUGAUAUUUUUUUCCUUUAUUCUUUGAAAGAAAUAUUUGUUUAAAAUAGUUUAAUUUCUUGAUUGAUUUACUUUUCUUCCAAAAUGCUGUAUUGGAUUCUGAAUGUCUCUGGUUGUUUGCACACAGAUAACUGCAAAGAGGUUGUCAUUACUGGUUACACGCAAGCCGAGGCCAGAUCUCUUACUUAAAGGCUUGGGGAAGGCACAAAACAUGAGAGAAAGUGUUGUACAGAAUUUAUCAUGGAUUUUUGACUGCUGAAAAAGGGACAGUGGAAUUUAGCCAUACCAAGGACUGUACUGGAAACAGACUUCUGCUGCUGAAUGUGCCCUGUUGUGACCAGGUUGCACUUGGAAGAAAUCCCGAGUCUUCAUGAGGCAUUUGAAGCUUAUCAAAACUGUGGCUAGAACUCAUUUGGUGCUCCCCAUAGGAGUGGUCUGCUUACGGACUGGCCAGUGUCCAUGAAACAACUGUAAAUACCAACGUGUGUGCAUGGGUCAACAGCUUUGGCCAUCUCACCUCAAAGGAAGCCAAAUUCAUGAUCAACAUCUCUGGAGCUUCAAGUAAGGCCCAUACCUCUGUGAAUUACCCCUCACGGACCCGCAGUAGAUUGUGCUGUGACUAUUACAAAGCAGUAAUAUUGAUGUGGUAUAGGUCUGUUUUAAUUUCUCUUACUUUUCCUUUGUUGAUUGAACCCAUGAACAUUGCAUCAUUUUUUAAAUAAACCAAUUAUAUUUUCAGCUUGUCAUAUUAUGUUGUGAAAUUUUCAGUGCCUAUUUAUUAAAACUGACCUAUUUGUAAGUUCUACAUUUAAGUUCUGAAAAAAUGACUUAAAAACACUCACUAAUAUCUUUCAUAGUUUGUCUUUUGUCAUUGUUACCUCAAUUAUAAAUAUUACAAAAAAUAAA